rnacentral:rRNA from 1 species
CUUGAACGCUAGCGGGAUGCCUUACACCUGCCAGUCGAACGGAGUGGCGAACGGGUGAGUAAUGUAUCGGAACGUGCCCCGUAGCGGGGGAUAACUACGCGAAAGCGUAGCUAAUACCGCAUACUUUUGGAGCGGCCGAUAUCGGAUUAGCGAGUUGGUGGGGUAACGGCUCACCCAGGCGACGAUCCGUCGCUGGUUUGAGAGGACGACCAGCCACACUGGGAUGGAGACACGGCCCAGACUCCGACGGGAGGAAGCAGUGGGGAAUUGUGGACAAUGGGGGAAACCCUGAUCCAGCCAUCCCGCGUGUGCGAUGAAGGCCUUCGGGUUGUAAAGCACUUUUGGCAGGAAAGCGGUACCUGCAGAAUAAGCACCGGCUAACUACGUGCCAGCAGCCGCGGUAAUAC